UGCAGAGCUUGAAGCAAGAUGUCAGAAACUGCGGGCACAGUUGGAAAACAAAAAGUAUGAGGAGAUGGUCAAAAAUAUUGAUAGAUUAAAAACGGAUUACUACUCUGCUGGCAGAGAUGUGAAAGAAAUGAAGAGGCAAUUGGUUUCUGUGUUCAACUUUAUCGUAACUGUGGGUGGGGCAUUUGCUUUUGGAUACAAGGCAACGCAAUAUACAUUUAGUGGGUACAGCAAUGUUUUUGCCCUG